rnacentral:rRNA from 1 species
CCUACGGGAGGCAGCAGUGGGGGAUAUUGCACAAUGGGGGGAACCCUGAUGCAGCGACGCCGCGUGGGUGAAGAAGCGCCUCGGCGCGUAAAGCCCUGUCAGCAGGGAAGAAAAUGACGGUACCUGAAGAAGAAGCCCCGGCUAACUACGUGCCAGCAGCCGCGGUAAUACGUAGGGGGCAAGCGUUAUCCGGAUUUACUGGGUGUAAAGGGGGCGCAGACGGCGAUGCAAGCCAGGAGUGAAAGCCCGGGGUCCAACCCCGGGACUGCUCUUGGAACUGCGUGGCUGGAGGGCAGGAGGGGCAGGCGGAAGUCCUGGUGUAGCGGGGAAAUGCGUAGAUAUCAGGAGGAACACCGGUGGCGAAGGCGGCCUGCUGGACUGCAACUGACGUUGAGGCCCGAAAGCGUGGGGAGCAAACAGGAUUAGAUACCCUUGUAGUC